CUCAGAAUGACAAUUGCUUUAAGUAGCAUUGUGACCUCAGAAUCACCCCUUAAGGAAUUCUGGUCUGGCUGAAAAGUCCUUGAGAGCAUUUCAGGCAUGGAAAGCCAAGACACUGCGACAAAAAAUGUCAUAUAUGUAGGACCUCAGUGGGUGAGACCCCAGUGGAAAGAAGUGGCCAUCAAAGAAAAAGACCUCAUCAUCUGGUUUUGCAUAUCCUCAAGUUGGAAUGACUGCAAUGUUCUCACCGAAGUCUCUCUUCUCCAGUCUCUUCCUGUUUGAGAUCAUUUGCCUGUCAAGAUUUUGUUCCAGAGAGAUGUAAACAGAAUGUUGCUUUGAAAGUCAUGAUAAAAUCAUCAAAAUGACCCCUGGGGAAAUGCAUGACAGCUCUUUCUGAGCCUCCCUUUCUUCUUCCCCUUAUCUCAGCCUGGCCCUGAGAGAUGAGCUCAGGAGGUGAAGACAGAACGAAGGUGGGAGAAGGAGUAGGCUGUACACAUGACUUGGUUAUGUCUUUAAAGCUAACUUGUUAAUGGGUUGGGUUGUGUUAAAAUGCCACAUGCCCUGAAUGACAUGAACCUCCAAACUUAAACAGCCUUGUCUGGGUCUCAUGUCCUCUGCAAAUAUGUCCUGAUAGGCAUAUUCUGAGGCUCUACCCCUACUCUAGAAAUCCCUGGGCCUGGAGCUUGUAGAAUACCCAUGAGCACCCAGGAUUAUGCAGUCUAGGUGCUAGCUAGCUCCCCUAAUUAUUUCUUGUAUGCUUUAUUUCUCCAAAUAGACUGGGUUAUACUCUCUUCAUCUAUGUGUUUCCUCCCUCCCUCCUUCCCUUCUUUCCUUCCUUUAUUUCAUCUAUCAAUGAAUCAUCUACUUUAUUUCAUCUAUCAAUGAAUCAUCAAUGAAUCAAUGAAUUAUCUAUAUCUAUAAUUGACCUGUCUAUAAUCCAUCUGUCUAUAAUCCAUCUAUAACCUAUUUUUCUGAAUCUGUAUCUAUCUAUCUGCCAUCUAUCUACAAUACAUCUAUCAUUUAGGUAUCGUGUAUGAUCCCUCUAUGCUACUCGUUUUUGGUGUCCUCUAAUGAUGUCCCACACCUGCUGAGCAAUGGCAAGAUUCACUAAAUUAGCUUAAUUGCUGGAGUGUUUUAUGUGGAGGAUGGCCCAAGUCCUUGGGCCCUGCACCCACAUGGGAGACCAAGAGAAGCACCUGGCUCCUGGCUUCAGAUCAGCGUGGUGCGCCGGCCGCAGUGUGCUGGCCGCAGCGGCCAUUGUGGGGUGAACCAACGGAAAAGGAAGACCUUUCUUUCUGUCUCUCUCUCUCUCUCUCUCACUGUCCACUCUGCCUGUCAAAAAAAAAAAAAAAAAAAAGAUAGCUCUGAACAGCUGGAUAACAAACAGUAGAGGCAGUCUGUAACAGUUUAGUGGGACUGUUUGGUUACAAGGGAUGUUUGCUGUCUGUGGAGGGAUCACCUUUCUUCUGGUAUGUUUGGCUAUGACUGUGCCUACAGAGGUUUCUCUAAUCUGUGUCCAGCCCACACUUGAUGACCUAACACUUCACUCACAGUUCAAAUGCCUCUUCUUACCUUGUCCUCUUAAAGGCAUUGGUGAGGUGAUUUCUCAGUGCUUAUUUUUGAAAAGAUCCUAGAGAAAUGGCCGUAGUAACCCUUGGCCAUGAGGCUAAGUCAUCGCUUCCUUGACUUGGAAGAAAUUCAGCUGAUUCUCUUCAAUCAAUAUGCCACCUCUCCCACAUCUAAAUCCAAGUGUGUCCUGCAGAAUGCUCCCCUUGAGAGACUACACUUAUUGCAGUGAGGCUCUCAGUAUCCAACUAUAGAAAAAUCCAGAAGCUUAAAAUAAUCUUUAAAGCUGAGUUUGUUCAUUUAAAGAGCAAAAAUCCUGCUUCUUCCAGGCUGACUAAAAAGAUAAAUAGUAGCACCAUGUAUUCAUCAAUAAAAGAAGCUGUGCCAAAAUUUAGGGGAUGUAGACCAACCCCUAGGGAGGGCAAUUAUUUUGGAUCUGGAUCGUAAUUUUGUUUACUUGCUAUGAGAAAAUGUGGUGCCACAGGAAUCUGCAACUCUGCACUGCACAGUUAUAUACUGGGGAAAUUGUUAAAGUUAUAGAACAUUUGAAGAGUUCUAUAACUCUUUAACUGCAAGUGCUACCUUGCAAUUGCUAAAAUUGUUUCUAUAUUACAUUUAUUUUAGUCAAUAUUUCAUAUGAUUUUAUAUAUAAAUAUUUAAUCUAUUUAAUACAAUUGUUUUAUUUUUUCUACUCUAAAUUUACUUAUAUGUCCUCUUGUUUGCAAAAGAGACUGAAGGCAGUUUACAAAAAUACAUAUAACACAGCAAAAUAAAAGUAAUGAGACAGUAAGACAAACUAUUAUUACAUUUUUAAAAAGAAGAAUCUAUCUAAAGUCUAGAUAUGGACAGAAUGUUUUUUGCAUGGACCUUUUGUUUUUCUGACUCUUUUUUUUUCUGUGACGCAACCUAAAAUACAUUAGUUUUUAAAAAAUGCUGAGUGCCUGAAUGAGCAUUAGCUCCACAUUUGUCUUUUGUUUAUAUUGUUUGCAAUGAGUAGGGGUUAAUCUAGUCUGUUUACAGAAGUCACAUUGCCUCUGUAGAACAUUCUGCCUCUACAGAUAUUGUGGAGAAUGUCCACUUUGAAAAAGCAGAUUUAUUUUAUUUAUUUGAAAGGCAGGUUGACAGAGAGGUGGGGGGUGAUCUUCUAUCUGCUGGCUCACUCCCCAAAUGACCACAAUGGCCAGGGCUGGACCAGGUCAAUGCCAGGAGCCUGGAACUCCAUCUGGGUCUCCCACAUGGGUAGUAGGAGUCCAAGCUUUGAGUCAUCUUAAACUAUUUUUCCAGAUGCAUUAGCAGGGAGCUGGGUGGGAAGCAGAGCAGUGAAACUACAACUGGUGCUCCAGUGAGAGAUGCCAGUGACACAAGGGGCAGCGUAACCCACUGUGCCCCAAGAGAAUUCCACUUUUACAGAAGAGCUCCAACGUAGCUUUAAGAUGAAGACAAGCAUCUUUAUGAUAGCUCCUUAGGGGCCUUUCUGUAUUUCUGGGUCAAGUAGAGAAUUUAUGACUUUGGAUGUCUGUUCAAUAUUUUUUAUUUUACGGAAAAUGAAAGGAAGACCCAAAGGUCUUGGCUCACAAAGCUCUUUGGAGGAAUCAGAAUCCCCGGGGCUUCCCUUCCUUGUCACAUUAGGGAUUUACAGGGAGAUCAGCAAGCUCUAGGCGUUAAAGAUCCUAGAUGUGCUUGUCUGAGCUCUGAGACCUGGGGACCUGGGCAGGGUGACUAAGGAUAAACCUCAUUCCUGGUUUAGGCUGCCACCCUUUUCCUAGUCCCUUCCAAAGCUGGGUCAACCCAUACCUUGUAG